AUACUUACCUGGCAGGGUUGAUACUAUGGUCAUGAAGGUGGUUUUCUCAGGGUGAGGCUUCUCCAUUGUACUUUAGAUAUCUUGACUCCUGCAAUUUCCCCAAAUGUGGGAAACUUGACUGCAUGAUUUGUGGUAGUGAAGAAUUAGGUCCAUGCUCUUCU
ensembl:snRNA U1 U1 spliceosomal RNA